CCGUAUAGGGGAGCCGAAGGGAAACCGAGUCUUAACCGGGCGUUAAGUUGCAGGGUAUAGACCCGAAACCCGGUGAUCUAGCCAUGGGCAGGUUGAAGGUUGGGUAACACUAACUGGAGGACCGAACCGACUAAUGUUGAAAAAUUAGCGGAUGACCUGUGGCUGGGGGUGAAAGGCCAAUCAAACCGGGAGAUAGCUGGUUCUCCCCGAAAGCUAUUUAGGUAGCGCCUCGUGAAUUCAUCUCCGGGGGUAGAGCACUGUUUCGGCUAGGGGGCCAUCCCGGCUUACCAACCCGAUGCAAACUGCGAAUACCGGAGAAUGUUAUCACGGGAGACACACGGCGGGUGCUAACGUCCGUCGUGAAGAGGGAAACAACCCAGACCGCCAGCUAAGGUCCCAAAGUCAUGGUUAAGUGGGAAACGAUGUGGGAAGGCCCAGACAGCCAGGAUGUUGGCUUAGAAGCAGCCAUCAUUUAAAGAAAGCGUAAUAGCUCACUGGUCGAGUCGGCCUGCGCGGAAGAUGUAACGGGGCUAAACCAU
rnacentral:rRNA from 1 species